CCUGGGAACCAGGAAAAGAGGAGCUUCUGAUAACAGAGCAGCAGGGCUCCUGAAAUCGCAGUGGAACUAGCACCUCAUGCACUCUGCAGGUGUUCAGGCAGCCAUCCUGGAGUCACCAUCCCCGAGGCAGGCAAGAAUUGGCCACUUGGGAUCUUUCAAUGUUCCCUUUUCCUCUUCUUACCUUAUAGAGUUUUCCCAGGGAGUGCCCCAGCCAAU